GAACGAACGCUGGCGGCGCGCCUAAUACAUGCAAGUCGAGCGAGAAGACGUAGCAAUACGUUUGUAAAGCGGCGAACGGGUGAGGAAUACAUGGGUAACCUACCCUCGAGUGGGAAUAACUAGCCGAAAGGUUAGCUAAUACCGCGUACGCUCCUUGGACUUCGGUUCAGGGAGGAAAGCGAUACCGUGGGUAUCGCGCUCUUGGAUGGGCUCAUGUCCUAUCAGCUUGUUGGUGAGGAACGGCUCACCAAGGCUUCGACGGGUAGCUGGUCUGAGAGGACGAUCAGCCACACUGGCACUGCGACACGGGCCAGGACUCCUACGGGAGGCAGCAGUAAGGAAUAUUGCGCAAUGGGCGAAAGCCUGACGCAGCGACGCCGCGUGGGGGA
rnacentral:rRNA from 1 species